rnacentral:rRNA from 1 species
UACGUAGGCAGCGAGCGUUGUUCGGAGUUACUGGGCGUAAAGGGUGUGUAGGCGGUUAUUUAAGUUUGGUGUGAAAUCUCCCGGCUCAACCGGGGAGGGUGCGCCGAAUACUGAAUGACUUGGAGUGCGGGAGAGGUGAGUGGAAUUCCUGGUGUAGCGGUGAAAUGCGUAGAUAUCAGGAGGAACACCGGUGGUGUAGACGGCUCACUGGACCGUAACUGACGCUGAGACACGAAAGCGUGGGUAGCGAACAGG